GGAGUUUGUAGUUCAGUUGGCAGAACGCUGGAAUGUGGAUCCAGAGGUCGCAGGGUUCGAAUCCCUCCUAACUCCC
rnacentral:tRNA from 1 species